AGAGUUUGAUCCUGGCUCAGGACGAACGCUGGCGGCGUGCCUAACACAUGCAAGUCGAGCGGGGAUUAUCGAAUGAAGUUUUCGGAUGGAUUUUGGUAAUUCUAGCGGCGGACGGGUGAGUAACGCGUGAGCAACCUGCCUUUCACAGGGGGAUAACGCAUCGAAAGGUGCACUAAUACCGCAUGAGACCACGCUCCCGACAUGAGAGAGGGGUCAAAGGAGCAAUCCGGUGAGAGAUGGGCUCGCGUCUGAUUAGCUAGUUGGUGAGGUAACGGCCCACCAAGGCGACGAUCAGUAGCCGACCUGAGAGGGUGAUCGGCCACAUUGGAACUGAGAGACGGUCCAAACUCCUACGGGAGGCAGCAGUGGGGAAUAUUGGGCAAUGGGGGAAACCCUGACCCAGCAACGCCGCGUGAAGGAAGAAGGUUUUCGGAUCGUAAACUUCUAUCCUUGGUGAAAAUAGUGAUGGUAGCCAAGAAGGAAGCCCCGGCUAACUACGUGCCAGCAGCCGCGGUAAUACGUAGGGGGCAAGCGUUGUCCGGAAUGAUUGGGCGUAAAGGGCGCGUAGGCGGCCUGGUAAGUUUGAAGUGAAAGUCCUUCUUUUAAGGAGGGAACUGCUUUGAAAACUGUCGGGCUUGAGUGCAGGAGAGGUAAGCGGAAUUCCCGGUGUAGCGGUGAAAUGCGUAGAGAUCGGGAGGAACACCAGUGGCGAAGGCGGCUUACUGGACUGUUACUGACGCUGAGGCGCGAAAGUGUGGGGAGCAAACAGGAUUAGAUACCCUGGUAGUCCACACUGUAAACG
rnacentral:rRNA from 1 species